GCAAACACAGAGCUGACAGGAUCAUCCACUGUAUCAGGAGACUGUAAAACAGGGACGGGGAGAAAGCAGUCUCUUGGGUAGUUUCUGUGCUCCUUUAACAUGGGAAGAGAAGAAGGGCAAACAAACUCUGGGGUAGUCUCUGCCCAGCUUGGUUUGCUUUCUGCUUCUGAGGGAAAAGGAGUGCUGGCUGGACUCUUGCAAACCAGCAGGAGAGAAGCACGUGGAUGGCAUUAUAGCUCUUAUUCAAGGAUUCUCAUUUGAAAGGCACCUACAGAAAAACUCUAUUUCCCAGGGACCAGAUGCCUCUGAACUUAAGGAACAGGUGUGGGCGUUUCAGUUUGCUUGUUCGCCUCAGAGUCAUUUUGAUUGAAGUUCAUGAUGACAGCAAACAGAUCUACUGUGGCAGUAGCCAAGCUUUGAUGCUUGCUUUGAUGCUAUUGUUCUAGCAAGACUUUUUUUUUUAAAUUUUUCAAGAUAACCCUAUUACAUCCCAUGUAGAUUUAUUGUUAUGCUGCACAAUUGUAUAAUAUAUACUCCUCAGUUUCCAAAAAU